GAACCAGCAGCACGGACUUCCUUCUGGUUCCGUGUGGGGCUGAGCAGCUGUGUGAGGUUUAAGGACUUCUUUAUUCACUAAAAUGCAGGACCCAAAUGAAGACACAGAGUGGAACGACAUCCUGAGGAAGAAAGGCAUCCUUCCUCCCAAAGAGAUCCCUAAAGAUGAUGAAGAGGAGGAAGACGCCCUUCAGCAGCAGUCUGUUGUUAAGACCUAUGAGAGCAUGACGCUGGAAGAGCUGGAGGAGAAUGAAGAUGAGUUUGGUGAGGAUGAUGAGGCUGCCAUAGAGAUGUACAGGUGAGUGAUGUGUGCUGCAGCUGAUGGUGCUGUUAAAGACUGGACCUCCUGGGUUCUGAUGAAACAGUUUACACCUUUCUCAUCUCAUGGUUUACAGUCAAAAUUCAUUCAGUUUUCAAAUUAACAGAUUUAUCUUUAUGUUUAUAUUUACAAUGCCAGUUUUAAUUUUUGUAUU